UGGGGAAUAUUGCACAAUGGGCGCAAGCCUGAUGCAGCCAUGCCGCGUGUGUGAAGAAGGCCUUCGGGUUGUAAAGUACUUUCAGCGGGGAGGAAGGGAGUAAAGUUAAUACCUUUGCUCAUUGACGUUACCCGCAGAAGAAGCACCGGCUAACUCCGUGCCAGCAGCCGCGGUAAUACGGAGGGUGCAAGCGUUAAUCGGAAUUACUGGGCGUAAAGCGCACGCAGGCGGUUUGUUAAGUCAGAUGUGAAAUCCCCGGGCUCAACCUGGGAACUGCAUCUGAUACUGGCAAGCUUGAGUCUCGUAGAGGGGGGUAGAAUUCCAGGUGUAGCGGUGAAAUGCGUAGAGAUCUGGAGGAAUACCGGUGGCGAAGGCGGCCCCCUGGACGAAGACUGACGCUCAGGUGCGAAAGCGUGGGGAGCAAACA
rnacentral:rRNA from 1 species